UACGAAGGGGGCGAGCGUUGUUCGGAUUCACUGGGCGUAAAGGGUGCGUAGGCGGUCGGGUAAGUCUGAUGUGAAAUCUCACAGCUUAACUGUGAAACUGCAUUGGAUACUAUUCGGCUUGAGAGUUGGAGGGGGGACUGGAAUUCCCGGUGUAGCGGUGAAAUGCGCAGAUAUCGGGAAGAACACCCGUGGCGAAGGCGGCUCUCUGGGACGGUACUGACGCUGAGACGCGAAAGCGUGGGGAGCGAACAGG
rnacentral:rRNA from 1 species